GUGAUAUGUGAACUGUCAUGUCUGCCUUGCCGUCAUCUCGGUUCCACUCGGUCACUGUCGCUACGCGCCCCACGCUUACCACACAAUGUCGAGGGAUUCACCUUUGGCUGAAAGUAUUGGAAGGGCCGUUCUGGCAGCUAUACAAGAAAUUAACCCCGCGUCAGCUACAACGGCUGCCGCAGAGCCACAACAGCACUCGGACUCCGGCACUGAUGGUACGGUAUCUUUAACAGCACCAGACUUCACCCCAGUGACCUCUCAGUCAGGUACCUACCAAGGAAGGCAUGAUAUAUCCAGAGAGGAGCUUGAACAUGUUCUUUCCCUGAAAACCACUUUUACUGAAGCAGCAUCUACUCUUGGAAUCUCAAGGCCAACUUUCUAUAAAUUACUACAAGACUACAAUAUUCCAACAUCAAAUUUGAUCUAAUCAGUGAUCAACAAUUAGAUAUUGAAGUGUCACAAAUAAAAACUGAACACCCAAAUGUUGGUGAAGUGAUGCUCAUGGUGCAUCUGUAUGAAGGUAAAUUUGUUUCUUUAUUUUCAGUCGAAAAAAAAGUUGCUCCAAUCGCAAAACAUGUUCUCAAUCAGAAAAAACUUCACUUCAAUCAAAAAAAAACGUUUUCAAUCAAAGAAAAAACUUGUUCAAACGCAAAAAAAUAUUUGUGCUAUUUGUGGAUUAUUUACUGAUUUCAAGACAUGUUUUGGACAAUAUAUUAUACUGGCUUGUUUUGUCUGGAUGUCUAAGCUUGGAUUAUGGCCGUUUUUUGUGGAAUAUUUUCAUCUGUGACCAGUUAUGAGCCUUCAAAGGUUCACUGCCAGACCUCUAGUGGAGACCAUCUUUGAGAGGGGCAUGGCCACCUGCUUGGCCUACGGACAGACAGGAAGCGGAAAAACACAUACUAUGGGUGGAGAUUUCUCUGGAAAGAACCAAGACUGCUGGAAAGGAAUUUAUGCAUUAGCUGGAUGUAUUUGUCAUUUUGAAGAAACCCAAUUACAAGAAUUUAGAUCGACAAGUGUAUGCAGCCUUCUUUCAAAUCUACAAUGAAAAGGCAAGUGUAAUCAUCUCGUGAUUGGUGUGACCAUAUUUCAUGUGUGAUCAACACUAACCGACGCUGACUGUAUUGUGUGUGUGCUGACAGGUGUUUGACCUCCUGAAUCGUAAAUCCAAGCUGAGGGUGCUGGAGGAUGGGAAGCAGCAGAUGCAGGUUGUGGGGCUUCAGGAGAAGGAGGUCAAGUGCACAGAAGAUGUCCUGAAACUCAUUGAAGUGGGCAACAGCUGCAGAACAUCAGGGCAGACGUGUGCCAACGCUCACUCAUCCCGCAGCCACGCGGUGUUCCAGAUCAUUCUUCGGAGGAAGGGAAAGAUGCAUGGGAAGUUCUCGGUCAUCGACCUUGCAGGAAAUGAGAGGGGGGCCGAUACGUCGACUGCCGACCGCCAGACUCUGUCAGGGUCCUCUCCUCAUCCCAUCCCCACCUGACAUCCCUAAAAACCCCUUUUCCCUACCUUUCUCCUCUGUCUCUCUGCCUCUCUGUUCCUCUGUCUCUGUGUCUCCCUUUCAGUCUCCCAUCCGCUCCUCUACCUCUGUCUUCCCCUGCAGUGUGGCACCUGAGUGGAGUUGAGCUUCUCAGCUGACUCCACUCAGGUAAUCAGCCACAUCCAUGGAUCCCGGGCAGCUGGAAGACAUCUCGUUGAUUACCACCUCAGCAAUAAGAACCGGCUCAUCAUUCCACUCCCUGUCAGAUUGUUAAACUAGACACACAGACCAGCUGUCCAGGCUCCUUGCCCCUGCCCCGACCAGCCCAUUCUGUUCCGAACCUGCUCUGCCUUCCCUGCCUUGACCCCCUUCUCCGAUUCUCCUGGUGCCCCCCGGACCCCACCGAACCGUUACUGGACCCCGCCACGGAACCCCCGGACCAGCACCGCCGCCAGGGAUCCGCACCAAACAUCUGCCACCACACUCUGCUCCCCACCGGAGCCGCCACGGCCGCCGAUCCCCGGCUUUACUCCCUCCCUGCUGCCAGAACUCUCUAUCCAUCUCCACUGCUUCCCGGACCAUCUCCACCCCUUACAAUAAACCUGUUUUACACCCAAUUCCGCCUUGGUAGCGUGGUCCUCCGCACGGGUCCAGAUCCACCUCACAUGACAGACUGUCUGGAAGGAGCUGAGAUCAACAAAAGCCUGUUGGCCCUGAAGCUCUGUGGAAGGCAGCAGUGUUGUCCACAGUGUUUUCUGCCACUUGUUUGUUCGUGAAAAGACAAAAUACACAUUUAUUUCAUUCUUUUUAUUUACUAUAUCCUGUCUUUCCCUCUCUUCUUGUUUCAGGAGUGUAUCAGAGCUCUUGGUCGUAACAAACCACACGCUCCAUUCAGAGCCAGUAAGCUCACCCAGGUCCUGAGAGACUCCUUCAUUGGGGAAAA